AUACGGAGGGUGCAAGCGUUAAUCGGAAUUACUGGGCGUAAAGCGUACGUAGGCGGUUCGUUAAGUUAGAUGUGAAAGCCCCGGGCUUAACCUGGGAACUGCAUCUAAAACUGGCGAACUAGAGUUGAGUAGAGGGGAGUGGAAUUUCAGGUGUAGCGGUGAAAUGCGUAGAGAUCUGAAGGAACACCAGUGGCGAAGGCGACUCCCUGGACUCGAACUGACGCUGAGGUACGAAAGCGUGGGUAGCAAACGGGAUUAGAAACCCUAGUAGUCC
rnacentral:rRNA from 1 species